AUCCGGUGGUGAGGGCAAGCUUCCAGUAACUUCUUAAAUCUCUCCUAAUAUUCAUACAAAGUCUCCCCAUCCCGUUGCACAAUGCAAGAAAUCUCUCUUCUCAGCUU